GACGUAGGGCGCGAGCGUUGUCCGGAAUUAUUGGGCGUAAAGAGCUCGUAGGCGGUUCGUCGCGUCGGCUGUGAAAACCCGGAGCUCAACUCCGGGCCUGCAGUCGAUACGGGCGGACUCGAGUUCGGCAGGGGAGACUGGAAUUCCUGGUGUAGCGGUGAAAUGCGCAGAUAUCAGGAGGAACACCGGUGGCGAAGGCGGGUCUCUGGGCCGAUACUGACGCUGAGGAGCGAAAGCGUGGGGAGCGAACAGG
rnacentral:rRNA from 1 species